GGGUUGUGAGGUUAAGCGACUAAGCGUACACGGUGGAUGCCCUGGCAGUCAGAGGCGAUGAAGGACGUGCUAAUCUGCGAUAAGCGUCGGUAAGGUGAUAUGAACCGUUAUAACCGGCGAUUUCCGAAUGGGGAAACCCAGUGUGAUUCGUCACACUAUCAUUAACUGAAUCCAUAGGUUAAUGAGGCGAACCGGGGGAACUGAAACAUCUAAGUACCCCGAGGAAAAGAAAUCAACCGAGAUUCCCCCAGUAGCGGCGAGCGAACGGGGAGCAGCCCAGAGCCUGAAUCAGUGUGUGUGUUAGUGGAAGCGUCUGGAAAGGCGCGCGAUACAGGGUGACAGCCCCGUACACAAAAAUGCACAUACUGUGAGCUCGAUGAGUAGGGCGGGACACGUGGUAUCCUGUCUGAAUAUGGGGGGACCAUCCUCCAAGGCUAAAUACUCCUGACUGACCGAUAGUGAACCAGUACCGUGAGGGAAAGGCGAAAAGAACCCCGGCGAGGGGAGUGAAAAAGAACCUGAAACCGUGUACGUACAAGCAGUGGGAGCACGCUUCGGCGUGUGACUGCGUACCUUUUGUAUAAUGGGUCAGCGACUUAUAUUCUGUAGCAAGGUUAACCGAAUAGGGGAGCCGAAGGGAAACCGAGUCUUAACUGGGCGUUAAGUUGCAGGGUAUAGACCCGAAACCCGGUGAUCUAGCCAUGGGCAGGUUGAAGGUUGGGUAACACUAACUGGAGGACCGAACCGACUAAUGUUGAAAAAUUAGCGGAUGACUUGUGGCUGGGGGUGAAAGGCCAAUCAAACCGGGAGAUAGCUGGUUCUCCCCGAAAGCUAUUUAGGUAGCGCCUCGUGAAUUCAUCUCCGGGGGUAGAGCACUGUUUCGGCAAGGGGGUCAUCCCGACUUACCAACCCGAUGCAAACUGCGAAUACCGGAGAAUGUUAUCACGGGAGACACACGGCGGGUGCUAACGUCCGUCGUGAAGAGGGAAACAACCCAGACCGCCAGCUAAGGUCCCAAAGUCAUGGUUAAGUGGGAAACGAUGUGGGAAGGCCCAGACAGCCAGGAUGUUGGCUUAGAAGCAGCCAUCAUUUAAAGAAAGCGUAAUAGCUCACUGGUCGAGUCGGCCUGCGCGGAAGAUGUAACGGGGCUAAACCAUGCACCGAAGCUGCGGCAGCGACACUAUGUGUUGUUGGGUAGGGGAGCGUUCUGUAAGCCUGUGAAGGUGUACUGUGAGGUAUGCUGGAGGUAUCAGAAGUGCGAAUGCUGACAUAAGUAACGAUAAAGCGGGUGAAAAGCCCGCUCGCCGGAAGACCAAGGGUUCCUGUCCAACGUUAAUCGGGGCAGGGUGAGUCGACCCCUAAGGCGAGGCCGAAAGGCGUAGUCGAUGGGAAACAGGUUAAUAUUCCUGUACUUGGUGUUACUGCGAAGGGGGGACGGAGAAGGCUAUGUUGGCCGGGCGACGGUUGUCCCGGUUUAAGCGUGUAGGCUGGUUUUCCAGGCAAAUCCGGAAAAUCAAGGCUGAGGCGUGAUGACGAGGCACUACGGUGCUGAAGCAACAAAUGCCCUGCUUCCAGGAAAAGCCUCUAAGCAUCAGGUAACAUCAAAUCGUACCCCAAACCGACACAGGUGGUCAGGUAGAGAAUACCAAGGCGCUUGAGAGAACUCGGGUGAAGGAACUAGGCAAAAUGGUGCCGUAACUUCGGGAGAAGGCACGCUGAUAUGUAGGUGAAGUCCCUCGCGGAUGGAGCUGAAAUCAGUCGAAGAUACCAGCUGGCUGCAACUGUUUAUUAAAAACACAGCACUGUGCAAACACGAAAGUGGACGUAUACGGUGUGACGCCUGCCCGGUGCCGGAAGGUUAAUUGAUGGGGUCAGCGCAAGCGAAGCUCUUGAUCGAAGCCCCGGUAAACGGCGGCCGUAACUAUAACGGUCCUAAGGUAGCGAAAUUCCUUGUCGGGUAAGUUCCGACCUGCACGAAUGGCGUAAUGAUGGCCAGGCUGUCUCCACCCGAGACUCAGUGAAAUUGAACUCGCUGUGAAGAUGCAGUGUACCCGCGGCAAGACGGAAAGACCCCGUGAACCUUUACUAUAGCUUGACACUGAACAUUGAGCCUUGAUGUGUAGGAUAGGUGGGAGGCUUUGAAGUGUGGACGCCAGUCUGCAUGGAGCCGACCUUGAAAUACCACCCUUUAAUGUUUGAUGUUCUAACGUUGGCCCCUGAUCGGGGUUGCGGACAGUGUCUGGUGGGUAGUUUGACUGGGGCGGUCUCCUCCUAAAGAGUAACGGAGGAGCACGAAGGUUGGCUAAUCCUGGUCGGACAUCAGGAGGUUAGUGCAAUGGCAUAAGCCAGCUUGACUGCGAGCGUGACGGCGCGAGCAGGUGCGAAAGCAGGUCAUAGUGAUCCGGUGGUUCUGAAUGGAAGGGCCAUCGCUCAACGGAUAAAAGGUACUCCGGGGAUAACAGGCUGAUACCGCCCAAGAGUUCAUAUCGACGGCGGUGUUUGGCACCUCGAUGUCGGCUCAUCACAUCCUGGGGCUGAAGUAGGUCCCAAGGGUAUGGCUGUUCGCCAUUUAAAGUGGUACGCGAGCUGGGUUUAGAACGUCGUGAGACAGUUCGGUCCCUAUCUGCCGUGGGCGCUGGAGAACUGAGGGGGGCUGCUCCUAGUACGAGAGGACCGGAGUGGACGCAUCACUGGUGUUCGGGUUGUCAUGCCAAUGGCACUGCCCGGUAGCUAAAUGCGGAAGAGAUAAGUGCUGAAAGCAUCUAAGCACGAAACUUGCCCCGAGAUGAGUUCUCCCUGACUCCUUGAGAGUCCUGAAGGAACGUUGAAGACGACGACGUUGAUAGGCCGGGUGUGUAAGCGCAGCGAUGCGUUGAGCUAACCGGUACUAAUGAACCGUGAGGCUUAACCUUACAACGCCGAAG
rnacentral:rRNA from 1 species